rnacentral:misc_RNA from 1 species
GUAGGUGAACCUGCGGAAGGAUCAUUAUUGAAUGAACUUGGUGUGGUUGUUGCUGGCCCUUUCGGGGGCAUGUGCACACCCACCAUCCUCAUCUCUCCACCUGUGCACCUCUUGUAGACUUGGAUUGACUUUCCGAGGCAACUCGGUCGGGAGGACUUGCUGGCGCUAGCUGGCUUUCCUUGCAUUUCCAAGUCUACGUUUUUCAUAUACCCCAUUGAAUGUAACAGAAUGUAACAUUGGGCUUUGUGCC